AGUGAACGCUGGCGGCAGGCCUAACACAUGCAAGUCGAACGGCAGCACAGUGGUAGCAAUACCAUGGGUGGCGAGUGGCGGACGGGUGAGGAAUACGUCGGAAUCUGCCUAUUUGUGGGGGAUAACGUAGGGAAACUUACGCUAAUACCGCAUACGACCUACGGGUGAAAGCGGAGGACCUUCGGGCUUCGCGCAGAUAGAUGAGCCGACGUCGUAUUAGCUUGUUGGUGGGGAACGGCCCACCAAGGCCGAGAUGCGUAGCGGGUGUGAGAGCACGACCCGCGCCACUGGCACUGAGACACUGGCCAGACACCUACGGGUGGCUGCAGUCGAGGAUCUUCGGCAAUGGGCGCAAGCCUGACCGAGCGACGCCGCGUGCGGGAUGAAGG
rnacentral:rRNA from 1 species